GAGAGUUAAACAGUACGUGAAAUUGUUGAAAGGGAAACGAUUAAAGUCAGUCGUACCUACGAGUAAUCAACCUACACGAGCGCGAUUUUGUGGGUAUGAAGAGGUAAAAACCUUCAUGCUUGCUAAUUGGUGUUCUUUGGGCGUACUUUCUCGUAUGGUUGGUUAACAUCAAUUUCGAUCGUUAUAAAAUGACGGGAGGAAUGUAGCUUCGACUUCGGUUGAAGUGUUAUAGCCUCUGGUAGAUGUAAUGAUUGGGAUUGAGGAUUGCAACGGAUACCCUCUGGGCUAUUCGUCUGAUCUCUGGAAGUUACCUUGGUGUCGAAAGCGUGCUUAUGACAUUAAGAAUGACGGCCAAAAGGUUAGAACGGAAUUAAAUUCGUUAAGGAUGUUGACGUAAUGGCUUUAAACGA
rnacentral:rRNA from 1 species